rnacentral:rRNA from 1 species
CGAGUGAAGCGGGAAAAGCUCAAAUUUAAAAUCUGGCUGUGGCAGUCCGAGUUGUAAUCUAGAGAAGUGCUACCCGCGCUGGACCGUGUACAAGUCUCCUGGAACGGAGCAUCAUAGAGGGUGAGAAUCCCGUCUUUGACACGGACUGCCAGGGCUAUGUGGUGCGCUCUCAACGAGUCGAGUUGUUUGGGAAUGCAGCUCAAAAUGGGUGGUAAAUUCCAUCUAAAGCUAAAUAUUGGCGAGAGACCGAUAGCGAACAAGUACCGUGAGGGAAAGAUGAAAAGAACUUUGGAAAGAGAGUUAAACAGUACGUGAAAUUGCUGAAAGGGAAACGCUUGAAGUCAGUCGCGCUGGCCAGGGAUCAACCUCGCUCUUUUGUGAGGUGCACUUUCUGGUCGGCGGGUCAGCAUCAGUUUUGGUUGCUGGAUAAAGGCCUUGGGAAUGUGGCAUCUUCGGAUGUGUUAUAGCCCUUGGUUGGAUACAGUGGCUGGGAUUGAGGAACUCAGCACGCCGCAAGGCCGGGUUUUAGCCACGUACGUGCUUGGGAUGCUGGCAUAAUGGCUUUAAUCGACCCGUCUUGAAACACGGACCAAGGAGUCUAACAUGCCUGCAAGUAUUUGGGUGGAAAACCCGAGUGCGCAAUGAAAGUGAAAGUUGAGAUCCCUGUCGUGGGGAGCAUCGACGCCCGGACCUGAGGCUUGCUGACGGUUCUGCGGUAGAGCAUGUAUGUUGGGACCCGAAAGAUGGUGAACUAUGCCUGAAUAGGGUGAAGCCAGAGGAAACUC